rnacentral:rRNA from 1 species
AUUGAACGCUGGCGGCAGGCCUAACACAUGCAAGUCGAGCGGAGCGGCGGACGGGUGAGUAAUGCCUAGGUAUCUGCCUGGUAGUGGGGGAUAACGACCGGAAACGGGCGCUAAUACCGCAUACUAGCAAAUGAGCCUAGGUCGGAUUAGCUAGCUGGUGGGGUAAAGGCCUACCAAGCCUACGAUCCGUAACUGGUCUGAGAGGAUGAUUAGUCACACUGGAACUGAGACACGGGCCAGACUCCUACGGGAGGCAGCAGUGGGGAAUAUUGGACAAUGGGCGAAAGCCUGAUGCAGCCAUGCCGCGUGUGUGAAGAAGGUCUUCGGAUUGUAAAGCACUUUCAGUUGGGAGGCGUUACCAACAGAAUAAGCACCGGCUAACUUCGUGCCAGCAGCCGCGGUAAUAC